UUUUUCUUCUUCAAGCGCAAGCGACGCUAUUCUAGUGACGCCGCGCCAUUACGCCAGAAUCUCUUAAAUUUGUUUCUUUUAUUUCUCAUAUUGAAUGUAUUAAAUGAAUUGAAACUGAAGAAGAUAAAUUUCCUGCUUCAGAAAAAUGGUCAAUUUACAUAUGAAGACAGUCAGGCGAGAACGACCAGCUACGCUUCGCAGAAAAGGAACGCGAGUAAAACCAAGCGGCAGAAAUGUUGGUUGUGAAGGAAAUUGAGGCAGCAGUCGGUCAUUCAUGUCAUCUGAGUGACAGAUGCUGAAAUGGAGGAACAGUUAUAAAUUAAAAAAUAAAUCUGCCAAGUACUAGAAAUUCGUGAAAUAAGAUGUUGAGUCUGCACUCCGGUGAAUAUACUGUACAACUAGUAAGAAAUACAAGCUCAACAUAUAUUUUAAGAAAAUUCCUUAAAGAACAAAUUCUUGUUUCUUUAAACAGUUCUUUUCAGAACUGUAAGAGUAUGUAAGAAAGUUAUUAUAUAAUAAAUAUAAUGAGAUUCCUUUAAAAAUUCACAAGAGCAAAGAAAAGACAAAGAAUAAAGGAAUAUACAGAUUGUAAUCUCGAUAUGUUAUAAAAAGUUAAUUGAAAAAUUAUUUAAAGAAUGGAAACAAAAGGAAUACAGACAAGUACACGAAACUUUUUAUAAACGGUUCUUUUCAGAACCAUGAACAGUUCUUUUCAGAACUAUGUCCCGUUUCUAAAUAUAGUUCUAUAUAGAACUAUUAUUUCUUGUUUCUUGGAUAAGUCUAGAGGAUGGAUAAGUCUACAUCUGUAUGUCAUGAUUUAUUGUGUAAUAAAGACUUAUUAAGCGAUUUUUUUUUUUAAUUUUAUACAUUUAAUAAAUUGGCCACUAACUGUUCGUACUUUUAAUGUGUUUAUAUGUGUGUAUUGAUUGAAUAAAUCAAUUAUUGAUUAUAAGAUUUACGUUAAUUGACUUUUAAUGUUUCUAUUUUUUACUAUUUCGUGUUUAAUUAUUUUUAUUAUUGAGUGUCUCGAUUUUUCAAUUUUUGAAAGUGUCAGACUUGGGUUCAGAAAAAGUGAACGUGUGAAAUUUUAAAAUAACUAGUCAUGAUGGUGAAUUAAGUGACAGUUUUAUCGAAAUAUAUUUAUAACCACUGAGAAGUCAAGACCAGCGUACAUUACGUAUACGAAAUGUAAACUUUUGAUGGAACUACUCUUCAAGGUAUCUUUCACUAUCAAACUGUAUAUUUAGUUUAGGUGCAAAUGAAUCUUGGUAUUCAAAACCAAUUCUUAUUAUUAUUUUGUGCUUUUUAAUAUAAUUAUUUAGUACUCAAUAUGAUUGAUGUUUACAGAUAAGGAUUGAAUAUAGUGUCAGACAUGAAAAAAAAAGAAUACCUAAAGUAGAGCAGAUGGCCUUCAGAAGUCUUUUUGAAAGAAGAUUAACCUGUCAUCUAAGCGUAGCUUUACACUAUUGAUGCUAGUCUGCAAAUCUGCAUUACCAGGAAGAAACAUUGUCAACUUUUUUUUUUUAUUUUUCUCUUUUUUGUUUUUGUAUUUUAUAAAUUCAGUAGUCAUUCAUACUUAUAAUCAGUGAUGUGCCGGAUCGUUAAAAGUGUAUAUCCGUGGAUACGGAUCUAAAUACAGAUAUUUGGUGUCAAGAUCCGCGAAUAUGUAUACGAAUCUUUAUUUUCUUAUUCGAUCGGUGUCGGCGCAUAAGAUAUAAAAGUGUAAAAUUUGUGACGGAAAGUAUUCCCGUAAGGGUAAAUGCACAACUUAUUUAAAAAAAAUCAUUUUAGUAGAAAAUGUCUUGAAAAAUAUAUUUUAUUCUUAAAAGAAGACUCCGUUAAGGAGAUCACCGAAAUCGGACGAAGCAGGAACACACACUGAUGCGCGGUGUCCAUUUGGUAAUCUAAUACCCGGCGGGUCAGAGUAAUUUUAGCGGAACUCUGCCACAGCCGUCGUUCAUCAUAAUAAUAGUUAUCGCUUCUAAGUACAGUUCGUGUAAGUGUACUGAUAGUGUACUUGUGUAGUGUAGUGUAUGUAUUAGGACAUCUUCGUUACACGAAGGCAUUUCACGAGCCUUUACCAGCCCCCGAAGCAUGAAGCAAGUGACAAUGAUUUUACACGAUUCAAACAUGAAUUUGAAUACUACAUGGCUACGGCCAUAGGUUGGUGAUGGGACUCAUUGAUAGUGUUCGAUUGAAGAUACAUUUAAUGGUGUACUAGUACAACGUUUGAACCAAACAGUUAAUGUAUAAGUUUAUUUUCUUGAUUAUUUAUAUUGAUUUCUCUUUACCGAGAUACACUUUGAGGUAAACGUGUUACUAAUAUUUUAUACUAUAUUGUGUAUUUCUUUUCUUCAAUUAUAGCAUUGAAGGUGUUGGAUUUGGGUUCGGAAAUUAAGUUUUAAGUCGUCAAGAAUGGAUAUAAUGAUUAUGAUAAGAACAAUAAUUUUAUUAAAAUGUGGCAACAAAUAUUAAAAAGUUUAAAUCUUCGACAAAUCUAAAAAUGGAACUACACCUCAAGGUAAGUUUCUUUCAUAGUAUUUACAUACUAAUGAAUAUUUAUUUUCAGAACUUAUUUCUCGUUUCAUUAAACAGUUCUUUUCAGAACUGUAUCAAGUUUCUACUAUGUCUUGAAAUUUAAUAUCAUAUCGACUAUUAGUACUUGAAUUAUAAUGAAUAAGUAAAUAAUGGAGACUGGUUCAGAAUACAAUCACGACAUUAUAAUAAGUAGUACUCGGAAAAAUUCAUACGAAGAAUAAUGCAAAUGAUGGAGUCAAUUCCAGAACUAUUCACAAUAAAACAGUUCUUUUCAGAACUACAAACAGUUCUUUUCAGAACUAUGUCUUGUUUCUAAAUAUAGUUCUAUUUAGAACUAUUGUUUCUUGUUUCUAAGAUAAGUCUAGAGGAUAGUCUACAUCUAUCUUAUGGAUUACCGAAGAAAGAGUAAUAUUUGUCAUUCGUACAUAUACUCGACCUUUAGUGUAACGUCUUUAUUAAGCGGAUUUUAAUAUUUUUUUAUUUUAUAUAUUUGAAUAUUUAUCACUAGCUAUUCGUACUUUUAAAGUGUGUUUAUUUAUAUGAAUUAUUCAAUUCUUGAUUAUAAAUUUGAGUUAAUUUUGUUAGUUAUUUUUUUUUAUUAAUUUUUGUUUUAUUAUUGAUUGUUUAAUCUUCAGUUUUGAAAGUGUUCAGUGCUCAUUUGUGUUCAAGAAAAGUGAACGUAUCAAAUUUUAAAAUAACAUUGGCCUUGAUGGUAAACUAAGUGACACUUAUCCAAAUGUAUCUAUAACCACUGAAAAGUCAAGAUCAACGUACCUUACUUAUCCGAAAUGCAAACUUUUGAUGGAACAACACUUCAAGGUAUGUUUCACUAUCAAACCAUAUUUUGUUUAAGUACUAAUGAAUCUUUUUGUUCAAAACCAAUUUUUAUGACUAUUUUGUGUUUUAUAAUGUAAUAAUUUACUAAGAAGUAAUGUAAUAUGAUUGAUGUUUACAGUUGAGAAUUAUAGUGUCAGACAUGAUAGAAAAAUGUAGACACGAAGUUCUUCUGAAUUCCUUUUGAAAGAAGAUUAACCUGUCAUUCAUGCACAGCUUUACAUUAUUGAUGUUAGUAUGGGAAUCUGUAUUACCAAGAAGAACCAUUAUCAACUUUUUUUUAUUCUUUUUUUUAUAAUAUUUUAUAAAUGUAAUAGUAAUUCAUACUCAUAAUUAGUGAUGUGUUGGAUCAUUAAAAGUUUAUGUCCGCGAAUACGGAUACGGAACUUUAUUUUCUUGUUCAAUCGGUGUCGGCGCGGGAGACCUUGAAAUUAUAGUUGACGUUACGUCCACCAUAACGACAGGCAGGACAUGUUUCCACUUACAUUGGACGGCUAUUACUUUUAUUAAUGGUUUAGGUUGCGUAAAUAACGGUUAGAGUUAUUUAAACAGAUAGACAUUAUUUAAACUCUUGUACCAACCAAGAGUUUAAAUAAUGCCAACUAUGACGUUUUCUAGUGUAAUUAGAAAUUGAAAAAUUUAAAAGUGUUAAAUUUGUGACGAUAUUAGUAUUUCUGUAUCAUUCACAGGGAAAACACCCUAAAACGAGAUUAUUUUUAAAAGAAGAUUCCGCUAAAAAGAAUACCGAAAUCGGACAAAGCAGGAGCACAGUGACGAGUUGUUUCCGUUUGGUCAUCUAUUACCCGGUCGUUCAGUGUAAUUUAGCGCCACUCAGCCACAGCCGACGUACAUCAUAAUCAUAGUUAUCGCCACUAAUUACAACUGGUGUAUGUGUACUGUUAGUGUAGUUGUGUAGUGUAUGUGUUAGGCCAUCUUAGUUACACACGAAGACAUUUGUCAUUUUGAAGCAAAUAGCAAGUGACAAUGACUUUACACGAUUCAAACAUGAAUUUGAAACAUUGAAUAGUUCAAAAGAUUUCAGAAUCUCAGUCAAGCACUGUCCAACAGUCAUCGCAUUAUUAUCGCUAAAAGUCGAGAAGACCUAAUCUCCAAAAUUAGGCAGGACAAAUGAGAAAAAGUAAACAAUUUGUAGGGAGCUCAAGAAAAACGCGUACGGGAAAGAGCCCCAAGCAAGUACCGACGCGUUCUCCCAAGAUUCGGCCCUCGCGACCGACAGGUUGCUACGGCCAUGGGUUGGUGGUGGGACUUAUUAAUAGUUUUAGAUUGAAAAUAUAUUUAAUAGUGUACUAGUGCAACGUUUAAACCAAAUAGUUAUGUAUAAUUUUAUUUUCUUGAUUAUUUAUAUUGAUUUCUCUUUACCGACAUACACUUUGUGGUAAACGUGUUACUAAUAUUAUAUUUUAUACUAUAUUUAGUAUUUCUUUUCUUCAAUAUAGUAUUGAAGGUGUCAGAUUUGUAUUCGGAAAUUAAGUUUUAAGCCGUCAAGAAUGGAUAUAAUGAUUAUGAUAAUAACUAAGAACAAUAAUUUUAUUAAAAUGUGGCAACAAAUAUUAAAAAGUUUAAAUCUUCUACAAAUCUAAAAAUGGAACUACACCUCAAGAACUGUAUCAAGUUUCUAUUACGUCUUGAAACAAUAUCAUAUCGACGAUUAUUACUUGAAUCGUAAUGAAAAACGAAAUAAUGGAGAUUGGUUCAAAUUACAGUAUGUAAUAAAUAGUAUUCGGAAGAAUUUAUACGGAAAAUGAUGCAAAUAGAUUAAUGAAAUAUAUAUAAAAUAUGGAGUCAGUUCCAGAACUAUUCACAAUGAAACAGUUCUUUUCAGAACUACAAAUUGUUCUUUUCAGAACUAUGAACAGUUCUCUUCAGAACUAUGUCUUGUUUUUAAAUAUAGUUCUUCUUAGAACUAUUGUUUCUUGGAUAAGUCUAGAAGAUGGUCUACAUCUCUCUUAUGGAUUACCGAAGAAAGAGUAAUAUUUUUUUUUUCGGCAUUACCUAUACUCGGCCUUUGAUUUAACGUCGUUAUUAAGCGGAUUAUUAUAUUUUUUUCUUUUAUACGUUUAAAAAUUAGUCACUAGCGAUUCGUACUUUUACAAUGUGUUUAUAUGUGUGUAUUAAUUGAAUAAAUCAAUUGUUGAUUAUAAGAUUUGAGUUAAUUGACUUUUAAUGUUUCUAUUUUUUACUGUUUUGUGUUUCAUCAUUUUUAUUAUUAUAAUAUAUAAUAGUGUCUAUUCUUAAAUUUUUAAAGUGUCAGAUUUAGGUUCAAGAAAAGUGAACUUAUCAAUUUUUAAAAAACAUUAGCCGUGGUGGCGAAUUGAAUGCCAGUUUAAUCGAAAUGUAUCUAUAACCACUGAGAAGUCAAGACCAGCAUACAUUACACUAAAUAGAAACUUGAUGGAACUACAUUUCACGGUAUGUUUCAUUACAAAAAAAAUUUGUUUAAUUACUAAUGAAUUUUUUGUUCGAAACCAAUUCUUAUUUCUUUAUUAUUUUGUGCUUUUUUAUUUAUAAUUUAUGACUUAUAUUGUUAAUGUUUACAGAUAAGAAUAAAUUAUAGUGUCAGACAUGAAAGAAAAGAAAAAAGUAGACAAGAAGGCUCUCUGAAGUCCUUUUGAAAGAAAAUUUACUUAUUAUCCAUGUAAAGCUUUGCAUUAUUAAUGUUAGUUUGGGAAUCUGCAUUACCAAGAAGAACGAUUGUCAACUUUUUUAUUUUUUUAAUAUUUUAUAAAUUUAAUAGUAAUUCAUACUCAUAAUCAGUGAUGUGCUGGAUCUUUGAAAGUGUAUAUCCGUGGAUAGGGAUUCGAAUACGGAUAUUUGGUGUCAAGAUCCACAGAUACUGAUACGGAUCUUUAUUUUGCAUUGCGCAGGUAUUACUUUAGUUUAAGGUUUAGGCCGUUUAGAUAACGUUUAUUGUUUUGGUACAAGAGUUAAAAUAAUGACUACUUACAAGUUUUCUAGUGUAAUUUGAAAUUGUAAAAUUGUAUAAAGUGUAAAAUUUGUGACAAAAAAAAAGUAUUCCUGUAAGGGUAAAGACGUGACAUCUUUAAAUAAUCAUUUACAGAGAAAAGAUCCUAAAAAUGUGAUUUAUUCUUGAAAGAAGACUCCGCUAAGAAGAGUACCGAAACCAGACAAAGCAGAAGCACGCAGUGACGAACGAUUUCCGUUCGGUCAUCUAUUACCCAGCGGGUCAGAAUAAUUUUAGCGACACUCGACCACGCCCCUUAUUCAUCAUAAUCAUAGUUAUCACCACUACUUACAGUUAGUGUACAUAUGUGUACUGAUAGUGUACUUAUCUAGUGUAGUGUAUGUGUUAGGCCGUCUUCGUUAGAGACUAAGGCAUUUGUCGCGGCUUAACGAGCCCUCCGAAACAAGAAACAAGUGACAAUGAUUUUACACGAUCUAAACAUAGAAUAGUUCUGAAUCUCAGUCAAGCAUUAUCCAACUGUCAUCGCAUUAUUAUCGCUAAAAGUCGAGAAGACCUAAUCCCCAACAUUUGGCAGGACUAAUGAGAGAAAGUAAAUAAUUUGUAGGGAGAUCAAGAAAAACGCGUACGGGAAAGAGCCCCAAGCAAGUACCGACGUGUUCUCCCAAGAUUCGGCCCUCGCGACCGACAGGUUGCUACGGCCAUGGGUUGGUGGUGGGACUUAUUAAUAGUGUUCGAUUGAAAAUACAUUUAAUAGUGUACUAGUGCAUCGUUUAAACCAAUCAGUUAAUGUAUAAUUUUAUUUUCUUGAUUAUUUAUAUUGGUUUCUCUUUGCCGAGGUAUACUUUGAGGUAAACGUUUUACUAAUAUUAUAUUUUAUACUCUAUUGUGUAUUUCUUCAAUAUAGCAUUGAAGGUGUCGGUUUCGAGUUCAAAAAUGAAGUUUUAAGUCAUCAAGAAUGGAUAUAAUGUUGAUGAUAAUAACUAAGAACAAUAAUUUUAUUAAAAUGUGACAACAAAUAUUAAAAAGUUAAAUCUUAAAAUGGAAUUACACCUCAAGGUAAGUUUCUUUCAUAGUAUUUCCAUACUAAUGAAUAUUUAUUUUCAGAACUUAUUUCUCGUUUCAUUAAACAGUUCUUUUCAGAACUGUAUCAAGUUUCUACUACGUAUUGAAAUUUAAUGUCAUAUCGACGAUUAUUACUUGAAUUGUAAUGAAAAACUAAAUAAUGGAGACUGGUUCAGAAUAUAACGACAGUAUUUAAUAAAUAGUAUUCGGAAGAAUUUAUACGAAAAAUCAGUUCGUAAAUCAGUAGAAACGUCAGUUCCAGAACUACUCAUAAUGUUCAGAUCUACAAAAAGUUCUUUUCAGAACUAUGAACAGUUCUUUUCAGAACUAUGUCUUGUUUCUAAAUAUAGUUCUAUUUAGAACUAUUGUUUCUUGUUUCUAAGAUAAGUCUAGAGGAUAGUCUACAUCUGUGUGACAUGGAUUACUAAAGAAAGAGUAAUAUUUUUCGGCCGUACAUAUACUCGAUCUUUGAUGUGUAACGUCUUUAUUAAGCGGAUUCUUUUUUUAUUUUAUGUAUUUAAAGAUUUCUCUCUAGAGAAACGUACAUUUAAAAGUGUGUUUAUAUAUGUGUAUUAAUUUACUUACAUAUUGUUUAGAAAUUUGAGUUUACUAAAUUUUAAAUGUUUCUAUUUUUUUAUACUUUGGGUGUUGAUUAUUGAGUGUCUCUAUUCUUCAAUUUUGAAAGUGUCAAAUUUGGGUUCAGGAAAAGUGCAUAUUUGAAAUUUUAAAAUAACAUUAUUCAUGAUGCUGAACCAAGUGACAGUUUUAUCAAAAUGUGUCUAUAACCACUGGAGAAGUCAAUACCAGCGUACAUUACUUAUACGAAAUACAAAUUUGUGAUGGAACUACACUUCAAGGUAUGUUUGACUAUCAAACUGUUUGAUUUUAGUAUUACUGAAUUUCAAAACCAAUUCUUAUUACUAUUUUGUGUUUUUUUAAUAAAAUAAUUUACUACUUAAUAUGAUGAAUGUUUACAGAUAAGGAUCGGAUAUAGUGUGAGACGUGAAAGAAAAAAGACCAGAAGACCCUCUGAAGCCCUUUCAAAAGAGUUUUCUAUCAACUAAGCGCAGCUUUACAUUAUUGAUGCUAGUCCGGGAAUCACAAUCACCAGGAAGAGAACCAUUUUCAAGUUUUUUCUUUUUAUUAUUCUCUUUUAAUGAUUCGUAUUUUAUAAAUUGAGUAAUCAUUCAUACUCAUAAAUAGUAAUGUGUCGGAUCGUUAAAAGUGUAUAUCCGUAGAUACGGAUAUUUGGUGUCAUGAUCCGUGGAUACAGAUACGUAUCUUUAUUUUGCAUUGCACGGGUAUUACUUUUGUUUAAGGUUUAGGCCGUGUAGAUAACAUUUAUGGUUUUGGUACAAGAGUUAAAAUAAUGUCUACUAAGAAGUUCUCUAGUGUAAUUUGAAAUUGUAAAAAUCUAAAAUUUGUGACGGAAAGUAUUCUCCUAAGGAGAGUACCGAAUUCAGACAUAACAGAAACACACAGUGAUGCACGGGUUCCGUUGGGUCAUCUAUUACUCAGCGGGUCAAAGUAAUUGUAGCCGCUCUCAGGCACGGUCGUCGUUCAUCAUAAUCUAGUGUAUGUGUACUGUUAAUGUACUUGUGUAGUGUAGUGUAUGUGUUAGACCAUCUUCGUUAGAGACUAAGGCAUUUGUCGCGGCUUUACGACCCCUUCGAAGCAAGAAACAAGUGACAAUGAUUUUACUCGAUCCAAACAUGAAUGAGAAAGUAAAUAUUUGUAGGGAGAUCAAGUGAAACGCGCUCGGGAAAGAGCCCCAAGCAAGUACCGACGCGUUCUCCCAAGAUUCGGCCCUCGCGACCGACAGGUUGCUACGGCCAUGGGUUGGUGGUGGGACUUUAUUAGUGUUAGAUUGAAAAUACAUUUAAUAGUGUACUAGUGCAUCGUUUAAACCAAUCAGUUAAUGUAUAAUUUUAUUUUCUUGAUUAUAUUGAUUUCUCUUUACCGAGAUACACUUUGAGGUAAACGUGUUACUAAUUUUAUAUUUUAUAAUAUAUUGUGUAUUUCUUUUCUUCCAUUAUAGCAUUGAAGGUGUUGGAUUUGGGUUCGGAAAUUAAGUUUUAAGUCGUCAAGAAUGGAUAUAAUGAUUAUUAUAAUAACUAAGAACAAUAAUUUUAUUAAAAUGUGACAACAAAUAUUAAAAAGUUUAAAUCUUCUACAAAUCUAAAAAUGGAACUACACCUCAAGGUAAGUGUCUUUCGUAGUAUUUAAAUACUAAUGAAUAUUUAUUUUCAGAACUUAUUUCUCGUUUCAUUAAACAGUUCUUUUCAGAACUGUAUCAAGUUUCUACUGCGUCUUGAAACUUAAUAUCAUAUCGACGAUUAGUACUUAAAUUGUAAUGAAAAAAGUAAAUAAUGGAGACUGGUUCAGAGUACAAUCACGACAUUAUAAUAAGUAGUACUCGGAAAAAUUAAUAUGAAGAAUAAUGCAAAUGAUAUGGAGUCAGUUCCAGAACUAUUCACAAUAAAACAGUUCUUUUCAGAACUGUCUUGUUUCUAAAUAUAGUUCUAUUUAGAACUAUUGUUUUUUGUUUCUUGGAUAAGUCUAGAAGAUAGUCUACAUGUGUGUGACACGGAUUACUAAAGAAAGAGUAAUAUUUUUCGGCCGUACGUAUACUCAAUCGUUGGAUUAAGUUCUUUAUUAAGCGGAUUAUUUUUUAUUUUUAUUUUGUACGUUUAAAAAUUUCUUUCUAGCGAAACGUUUUUUUAAAGGUGUGUUUAUAUAUGUGUAUUAAUUUACUUACAUAUGGAUUAGAAGUUUGAGUUAACUGAAUUUUAAAUGUUUCUAUUUUUUUACAUUUUGUGUUUUAUUGUAGAGUGUCUAUUCUUCAGUUUUGAAAGUUUCAAAUUUGGGUUCAGGAAAUGUGCACAUGUGAAAUUUUAAAAUAACACUGUCCAUGAUGGUGAACUAAGUGACACUUUUAUCCAAAUAUAUCUAUAACCACUGAGAAGUCAAGACCAGUGUACAUUACUUAUACGAAAUACGAACUUAAUGGAACUACACUUCAAGAUAAAAAUUGAUUAUAGUGUGAGACAUGAAAGAAAAGAUAAAAGUAGACCCGAAGGCCCUCUGAAGUUCUUUUAAAAGAAGAUUUACCUGUUAUCUAAGUGCAGCUUUACUAUUAAUACUAGUCUGCGAAUCUACAUUUUUUUAGAACUAUUUUGUUUUUUUUGUUUUUGUGUUUUAUAAAUUCAGUAGUCAUUCAUACUCAUAAUUAGUGAUGUGCCGGAUCGUUAAAAGUGUAUAUCCGUAGAUACGGAUCUAAAUACAGAUAUUUGGUGUCAAGAUCCGCGGCUACGGAUACGAAUCUGUAUUUUGCAUUGCAUUGCGCGGGAAUUACUUUUGUUUAUGUUUUAGGCCGCGUAGAUAACGUUUAUGAUUUUGGUACAAAAGUUAAAAUAAUUUGUACUAACAACUUUCGUAGUGUAAUUUGGAAUUAUUUUAACGUAAUAAAUAAAAGUUGGAUCUGCAGUGUAAAAUUUGUGACAGAAAGUAUUUCCGUAGGGCAAAAUAAAAAAAAAUCAUUUACAGAGGAAACAUAGUGAAAAAUAUGAUUUACUCUUGAAAGAAGACUCCGCUAAGGAAGAUACCGAAAGCAGACGAAAUAGGAUCACACAGUAAUGCUCGAUUUCCAUCUGGUAAUCUAUUACCUGGCUGGUCAGAGUAAUUUUAGCGGCACUCGGCCACGGCUGUCGAUCAUCAUAAUCAUAGUUAUCACCACUAGUUACAAGUAGUGUAUGUGUACUGUUAAUGUACUUGUGUAGUGUAGUGUAUGUGUUAGACUAUCUUCAUAACACACGAAGACAUUUGUAUCGCGGCUUUAUGAGCCCUCCGAAGAAAAAAGCAAGUGACAAAGUUUUACCAGAUUCAAACAUGAAUUUGAAAUCUUUAAUAGUUCAAAAGAUCUCUGAAUCUCAGUCAAGCAUUAUCUAACUGUCAUCGCAUACUGUCUUUGCACUUACUAUGUACACAUGUUUGCAAAUAAAUUUAUCUUUAUCUUUAUUAUUAUCACUAAAAGUCGAGAAGACCUAAUCUCCAACAUUUGGCAGGACUAAUGAGAGAAAGUAAACAAUUUGUAGGGAGAUCAAGAAAAACGCGUACGGGAAAGAGCCCCAAGCAAGUACCGACGCGUUCUCCCAAGAUUCGACCCUCGCGACCGACAGGUUGCUACGGCCAUGGGUUGGUGGUGGGAUUUAUUAAUAGUGUUCGAUUGAAGAUAUAUUUAGAAGUGUACUAGUGCAACGUUUAAACCAAACACUUAUGUAUAAGUUUAUUUUCUUGAUUAUUUACAUUGAUUUCUCUUUACUGAGAUACGCUUUGAGGUAAACGUGUUUAGUAUAUUUUAUACUCUAUUGUGUAUUUCUUCAAUAUAGCAUUGAAGGUGUUUUAUUUGCGUUCGGAAAUUAAGUUCCAAGUCGUCAAGGAUAAAUAUAAUGUUUAUGAUAUUAACUAAGAACAAUAAUUUUAUUAAAAUGUGUCCACAAAUGUUAAAAAAUUUUAAUCUUUAACAAAACUUUCUCUACUUAAAACAUACUACAUUUAAUGGUGUACUAGUACAACGUUUGAACCAAACAGUUAUAUAUAAGUUUAUUUUCUUGAUUAUUUAUAUUGAUUUCUCUUUAUCGAGAUACACUUUGAGCUAAACGUGUUUAGUAUAUUUUAUACCCUAUUGUGUAUUUCUUUUUUUUUUUUUUUUUUUUUUCAAUAUAGCAUUGAAGGUGUUGGAUUUACUUUCGGAAAUUAAGUUGUAAGUUGUCAAGAAUGGACAUAAUGUUUAUGAUAAUAACUAAGAACAAAAAUUUUAUUAAAAUGUGGCAACAAGUAUUAAAAAGUUUAAAUCUUCUACAAAUCUAAAAAUAGAACUACACCUCAAGGUAAGUUUCUUUCAUAGUAUUUACAUACUAAUGAAUAUUUAUUUUCAGAACUUAUUUCUCGUUUCAUUAAACAGUUCUUUUCAGAAGUGUAUCAAGUUUCUACUACGUCUUGAAACUUAAUAUCAUAUCGACGAUUAGUACUUGAAUUGUAAUGAAAAAGUAAAUAAUGGAGACUGGUUCAGAAUACAAUCACGAUAUUAUAAUAAGUAAUACUCGAAAAAAUUAAUAUGAAGAAUAAUGCAAAUGAUAUGGAGUCAAUUCCAGAACUAUUCACAAUAAAACAGUUCUUUUCAGAACUACAAACAGUUCUUUUCAGAACUAAGAACAGUUCUUAUCAGAACUGUGAACUGUUCUUUUCAGAACUAUGUCUCGUUUCUAAGUAUAGUUCUAUUUAGAACUAUUAUUUCUUGUUUCUUGGAUAAGUCUAGAGGAUAGUCUACGUCUAUGUUUCUAUUUUUUACUAUUUUGUUUUUCUAUUAUUCAGCGUCUCUAUUCUUCAUUUUUAAAGCGUUACAUUUGAGUUAUAACAUUAGCCAUGAUGUUGAAAUAAGUGAUAGUUUUAUCGAGUGUAUCUAUAACCAUUGAGAAAUAAAUAUGUGUAAAUUUUUUUUAAUUUAACUUGAAAGUAAUUUGCUAUCUACCUGGUGGUAAGUGGUAACUGUCACCAAUAAGCGAAAAUUGCACCAUAUACUAUACAGAAUACUGUGUUACAUCCAUAAUACCCUUAUCUCUACCUAUUUAAAAAAAAAAAGCUAUACAAUUUUAAAACAGAAUUAAUCUAUGUACUUUCCAGACCUCGUGAACUCUAUCUUACAGCGAAGAAAAGAAUCUUCUAGAACGCGAAGCUGUACAUUACAUCGAGUAAAGGAAGAGUACCAAUACCAAGAAGAGUUCAUGUAGUUGACGGCGGACGCCACCUACUCUAAAGAAGAAGGAUCUGCUGAGAUCCUGUUAUUUGGGAGCCGAAGUGUAUCGCUAUUGGGAUACAAUGCACAGCGGUGUAUAUAUAUGGACAAGACGGUGAUUGCAGGCAAUCUGGGCUGAGCGGACGUGUGGAAGGGACUCGGGUACAAGAUUGUCAUCACCGGCCUGCAAUGGUUCAUAUACAGUGCGAUCGAGAUCACAGUUCAUUUCAUUAAGGUGUGAUGGGAUGAUGCUUUCUCUCCCUCUCGCAAGCUGUUCCUACCUGCUCUCCAGCCGACGCUGCAGUCUUCUAGAAGCAGAAGAAUUGAAAGCAGACAUAACAAAAUUAUAGUUUAGUAAUUUAUACAUAUUUUUUUAUACAUGUAGAGAUAAAACUAAUGGUAUAUGUCUAUAUUUAUAACAGGAAUUUUACGAAAUUAUCAUAUUUGUCGUUUCCGACUGCAUCCGGAAGUCCUCUUUAGGGGGCUUACGCCUCUUUGAGUCACAGCGUGCGACACGAGAUGCUGUGACUUUAAAAAAUUAAUAUAAGUUUUAAAAAUCUUCUUUUAGAUAGAGAAUUUAUUUGCAUUACUUACAGCACACAAAUAACAAUACAAACAUACACAGUAAAAGAGAUAAAAAAAAAUAAAAAAAAAGGAAAAAAAUGGACAAUAUAUAAAACAAUUUCCCCAAAGUUUAAGAAAUUCUAGAGGCGGGCCAGGAUUAUAGAAAAAUUGUGUUAAAGUUUUUAAUUAUAAUAUUAUAAAAACGUUUCAGCAUUUUGCAUCUAUUAUUGUACUAAGUAGAAUCUACUUUUUCUCAAACAUGCUUGGAAAUGUGAGCAUUAUUUUGACAAUCUUCAAGAUAAAUCAUAAAUGGCCGUACUGGUCAGAGACAUGCGGGCAGCGGCCGGCAAAAGUUGUAUGAAAAUCCAUAUCUGUCGUGUUUUGCAGCUAAAUAAAUUACUAUGUAAACUCAUAUCUGUCCUGUAAUUUAAAAAUGGAAUGACCUUUUACUUCGAAACAUGGCUGCCAAGGAGGUAACUAAUAAAAUGUUUUAUUUAAAUUUCGAAUUGGCUUGCAAAUAAAAAGCCGUUUAUUGAAAAAAAAAACAAAGGAACAUUAUGGCGCGUGAAAAAUUAUUAUUAUUCGUUAUUUGUCAUUGAACUUAAAAAGUAAAAUUGUGUUUUUGAUUUCCACGCAUUGUUUGAGAAAAGUACUAUACAAGCCAUAGCCACAACUAGACAUUGAUGGACUCACAUAUGUGUCUCGUCUGCGCCUCGACCCACAUUUGCACGUUCGUCCAUCAAUGCCUCAGUUGCUGGCCGCUGCAGUAAUGUACUAUAUACUUUUUUUUUUACAACACUGGGGGCAAACGAGCAUGCGGCUCGCCUGAUGGUAAGUGACUACCGCCGCCCAUGGUCACCCACAACACCUACGGCAUUGCAGGUGUGCUGCCGGCCUUUUAAAAAGGAAUAUGCUUUUUUCUUGAAGGUUAUGUUGUCGUAUCGGUUCGGAAAUACUUCUGCUGGAAGUUGAUUCCAAAGAGUGGUUGUGCGUGGGAGAAAGUGCCUUGAAAAACGCACGGUGGAGGAUCGCCACUCGUCCAGAUGGUUGGGAUGAAAUUUUAGUUUAUGGCUUCUCGACCGUCAAAACACUUAGCGGGCCAUAUACUAUCCAUGUCGAUAGGCAUUAUUCGGCGGGCCAGAUUAAAUACUUUCGUGAGCCAGAGUUAGCCCGCGGGCUGUACUUUGCACAUCACUGCUCUUCAGCAAUCUUUCCCAAAGUGAGCAGUAAGAGACCCAAAAAAAAUGAGAGCGUUUUGUACUGGCUUGAGGGGUGAUUUGUUCAUCUUGAAGUAAUUGUGGUUUUUAAAUAGGUGAAAAAAGAGGGGACGUUAAAAAAUAAUUCAUUCUCAAAGUGGGCAGUAGACAAAACAAGUUUGGGACUCCCUGCUCUACAGGAUGACGGCCACGUGGUAUUCCCUGGAAACUUUCGUGAUUGAUUCCUGAUGACUCUGUCACGAUGAACCAACUAACUUGCGCUGGUGCCCUGUCAGUGUAUAUAGUGCAGGUAGGGUUACCAUUCCAAUAUCAUUCAAAAAAUGCACUAGUCUCAAUAAAGUUAGGAUUUAUAGAAAAUAUUUAAUAUAGGAAGUUAAUUAAAAAACACUUGCUCUAAUUACGUAAAAAAUAUAUAUAUUUCUUAUAGAUAUGAUACCAUCUUUUAUAAUUAUAUUAUAUUUAUGGAAUUUUAAAAAUCAAAAUAUAUAUAUAUAUAUAAGGAAUAAUAGAACAAUGUUAUAUACUCAUUCUAAACAUACGUCUGUAUUUUUAAUGUAUUCGAUUCUUAUACGAUUGCCCAUAAAAGAAGUGUAAGUUUAUUUAUUCCACAAUACCUUCUAAACGACCAACAAAUUUUUAGGAAAUUUAUUAGAAUCCUUAUACUCGUACAUACGGUCAUUCCGAGUAUUUUUUUUUUAAAUUGUGCACGAGUCAUGUUUUUUAAUUUGGUGGAAAAAAAAUGUUCUUAUAUCGAGACAUAGUUUUGACUUCAAUCAUUUAUUGCUAUUUCAUGUUGUAACAAUAUAGGUUUUCUUUUGUAAUUAUAUUUUUUUUUAUAUAAUUUAAAAAAAAAUCUAUCUAAUAAAUUUUAUAUUCUUAUCAUCAUAUCACCCUUUAACUGUCCACUGCUGAACAUAAGCCGCACUUUAUGGGGUUUUGCCAGUUGUUGCCACGCUUGGCAGGCGGAUUGGCAAUUGCAGUUAGGCUUUGGAGAUGUUUUAAAAGAGACACUGCUGCCCAUCCCUUGCCUUCCCUUAGUCUCUUACGACACCCAUGGGAAAGGAAUGGGAUGGCCUAUUCUAUGCCGGGAACCACACGACGAUUAAUUAAAUUUUACAUACUUAUUCUGAAUAUAAUAUAGCUGUAUUUUAAAAUAUUUAAAUUGGUAUAUUCAACAAGAUCUAUAUUCCUAUCUAAAAUGUAUUUGUCAUGUAUUUAGGUUCUUUCCUAUAUUUAUUUGUAUGUCUUUA